CGCACCUUGCGCUCCUUGGUAUUCCGAGGAGCAUGCCUGUUUGAGUGUCAUGAAAUUCUCAACCUUUCUAGUUUUUUGGCUAGUUAGGCUUGGAUCAUGGAAGUUGCUGGCUUAACCAAAGUCGGCUCUUCUUAAAUACAUUAGCAAAGACCAUUGCUGACCAUCUUUGGUAUGAUAAUUAUCUAUAUCAUUGAUAACCGGUUCCCUCGCAUGGGGGUGGUUUUGCUCCCAAUCGUCUUCUAGACAAUUUGACAACUUUGACCUCAAAUCAGGUAGGACUACCCGCUGAACUUAA
rnacentral:misc_RNA from 1 species